rnacentral:rRNA from 1 species
UACGUAGGGUGCAAGCGUUGUCCGGAAUUAUUGGGCGUAAAGAGCUCGUAGGCGGUCUGUCACGUCGGGCGUGAAAAUCCAGGGCUUAACCCUGGACCUGCGUUCGAUACGGGCAGACUAGAGUUCGGUAGGGGAGACUGGAAUUCCUGGUGUAGCGGUGAAAUGCGUAGAUAUCAAGAGGAACACCUGAGGUGAAGACGGGUUGCUGGGCCAACACUGACGCUGAGGCGCGAAAGCCAGGGGAGCAAACGGG